UAGCUAGACCAAAGCAAACUGCUGUUGCGAGUGGCAGUGCUGUCGCCGGAGCACGGUGGUGUCGCCAUGUCGGAACCCCCAAAUUGGCCAAAAAAGAAUUUUUAACACCGAUUUUGGGUUUUGAGAGGUUUUUUAGGUACAUAAAGCGUGUUUUAAUCUUAACAUAAAAAUUCAAGAAAUCUGAGAACCGUCAGUAGGCGCAGUAGAAAGUUUGAUAUUUCAAACACCGAUUUAAAUAAGAAUCUCUCACCUUACUCUCUGUUAUGGAAU
rnacentral:lncRNA from 1 species